CUUUUAUUUACAGGUUAUAUGUAUAGGUAACUUUACAGCAUUGACAAUUGCCAAACCUCUUGUUCCAAUUUUUCUCCUCCUUCCCCCCACCCCCUCCCCCAGAUGGCAGGAUGACCAGUAGAUGUUAAAUAUAUUAAAAUAUAAAUUAGAUACAUAAUAAGUAUACAUGACCAAACCGCAGACUCUGAAAUAGUGUACAAUUAGCCUGCGAAGGAAAUCAAAAAUGUAGGUGGGCAAAAAUAAAGGGAUUGGGAAUUCAGUGUAAUGGUUUUUAGUCAUUUCCCAGAGUUCUUUCGCUGAGCGUAGCUGGUUCAGUUCAUUACUGCUCCAUUGGAACUAAUUUGGUUCAUCUCAUUGUCGAAGAUGGCCAGGUCCAUCAGAAUUGGUCAUCACACAGUAUUGUUGUUGAAGUAUAUAAUGAUCUCCUGGUCCUGUUCAUUUCACUCAGCAUCAGUUCAUGUAAGUCUCUCCAGGCCUUUCUGAAAUCAUCCUGCUGGUCAUUUCUUUUCUUUUUUUUUUUUUUUUGCCCUUUGCAAACUUUAUUUAUUUUUAUUUUUAUUUUUUUAUUUAAUAGCCUUUUAUUUACAGGAUUUAUACAUGGGUAACUUUACAGCAUUAACAAUUGCCAAACCUCUUGUUCCAAUUUUUCACCUCUUACCCCCCCCACCCCCUCCCCUAGAUGGCAGGAUGACCAGUAGAUGUUAAAUAUAUUAAAAUAUAACUUAGAUACACAAUAAGUAUACAUGACCAAAACAUUAUUUUGCUGUACAAAAAGAAUCAGACUCUGAAUUAUUGUACAAUUAGCUUGUGAAGGAAAUCAAAAAUGCAUGUGUGCAUAAAUAUAGGGAUUGGGGAUUUAAUGUAAUGGUUUUUAGUCAUCUCCCAGAGUUCUUUUUCUGGGCAUAGCUAGUUCAGUUCAUUACUGCUCCAUUAGAAAUGAUUUGGUUGAUCUCAUUGCUGAGGAUGGCCUGAUCCAUCAGAACUGGUCAUCAUCUAGUAUUGUUGUUGACGUAUAUAAUGAUCCCCUGGUCCUGCUCAUUUCACUCAGCAUCAGUUCGUGUAAGUCUCUCCAGGCCUUUCUGAAAUCAUCCUGUUGGUCAUUUCUUACAGAACAGUAAUAUUCCAUAAUUUUCAUAUACCACAAUUUAUUCAGCCAUUCUCCAACUGAUGGACAACCAUUCAGUUUCCAGUUUUUAGCCACUACAAAAAGGGCUGCCACAAACAUUCGUGCACAUACAGGUUCCUUUCCCUUUUUUAUGAUCUCUUUGGGAUGUAAGCCCAGUAGUAACUGCAAUCCUGCUCUUGAUGUCCUAAGUGUUUCUGGACUUCAGGGAGGUGAUGCCAUGACAGGCAAAUGAAUUGUAUUGAAAUGAAGUACAAAGUCACCGGCCUCAUAUUCCUCUCCACAGCCAUCUGAGUCCAGUGGCAAGAUAGAGGUCAGUAUGACUGGAAAUGGCCCUGGAUGCAGUAGAGAUCUGAGCCUUUUAAAGCUAAGGUCUUUCCCAGAUCUCAGUUAAUUUGAGGCAACAUCCAUUCAGUGAUUUAAGUUUAAGUUUGAAAUGAGACAAAGAAUAGUUUUUUUUUUUUUUUUUUAAACCUAGUUUUAAAAAAAUUAGGAGAGGAAGACUCUCAGGAUUUCAGGGCCAAAACAGAAACAAUUGCCAUUGACUUUCACUUAGAGACAAUUGUUGUCCAAACAAAGAUCAAGUGAGUUUUGGCCUGGGAUCUUUUGUAGGACUAUCAAAGAGAGCCAGACUGAUUUGGGUUUAAGAAAUGAUCUUUAAGAAAGAAAUCUACUCCAUGAAACCCUAAAAAUAUUGUGAGGUUUUAGUGAUCAAAUUUAUAUUUCUUUGGGCAGAGCACCUGCAGGAAGGGAAAAAGAAACAAGACAGAAAAGGAGGAGGAGGAGCAGGAGGAGAAGAGAGGGAAAGAAAAGAAAGAAACAAAGAUAAGAGGUAAAUAAUUGAGAGGGAAUUAGCUAUGAUCCAAAAGCAGAAUUUUGGAGGAUGUAAGGGGGUGGGGCUGUGGGAGGGUGGGAACACAAAGUGGAAAAAUGGGAAGAGAAAAUAGUAGAGUGGGGAUGGUAAAAGAAAAGAUCUCAGAGCUUGAAAAAUAUUAUAAAUAGAGGAGAAAGAAAAGUGAAAUUCUAUUAUGGGGACUACAAGUACUAGCAGGGACAGGGUGAUUACUGUAGUGCUCAGCGUGCCACAGGAACAGUCACUAUAUUAACCGUUUCCCAACCAAAUGUUUUCAAUUCAGUCUUUAACUGGUUUCUUUCUGUUGGGAUGCAUGUUUAAUUUUAUAAUGUAAGUUGAUGGUCAAAUUGUCUAGGCAGGCAUUUCCUUUUCUAAAUAAAGCACAAGCUGCAUUGUUGUAUUACUAUUCCAUAAUCCCCAUUCCCAGACUUGAUUAGAAUUGGUUUAUUUGGUUUCUUUUGCUGCAUCUGGGAGAGGCAAGGACAAAGACAGAGGUGAUAAAGCAGACUGGGAUUUUAGAGUUAGAAAGCAUUUUAGAAAUCAUCUAGUCAUAACAUCACUGAAGGGACUUUAGAAGUCACCUACUAUAACUCCUUUUUGGGGGAACAGGAAAGAGAUGCUCAGAAAAUUGUGCGAUUUGCCUUCGUCACACAACUAAAUGGAAGUUGAAAUCUGGGCUCUUUGACUCCAAACCCAACACUCUUUCCCACCUAACUAAGAUGCUUUUUCAACCUUAUUUUAUUAAUUUUGUUAUAUUUUUGCAAAUAAUCAGUAUUUUUUAAACUGGGGUCUAUGACCUUUUUAGUUUUUAAAAUCGACUAUAUUUUAAUAUAAUUGGAUCCCAUUGUAAAACUUUUUCCAGGCAUAUAAAAUAUUAUUCUGAAAUGCAAUCUGAUGAUUUCCAGAAGUGUCCAUGACACAAAAAAAGAUCCUGAGCAACUUAAUCCUGAGAUCCUUGGAAGAAAUGAUCUGGAGUCUUGAGGGAAUUUCUCCAUGGGGCAAGUAGGGAAAAGGAAUAGGGAUCAGUAGGGAUAGGUUUAAUCUCAUAGUCCUGGGCAGCUCCAUCUUGCUAUGUCUGGUCAGAAAUCCAAGUUUAUCAGAUCCCUGAGGUUGAAUUUAUCCUAUACAUUUGUCCAUGACUCACUCUUGGCUGAACCCCUUUAGGUUAAUCUGUCAAGACACUCUAUCUCAUUUUGUUCUGGGACAGCUUAGGACCUCCAUCUUCCUUCCUCCCAUGGAGUAUUUCUUUUCUCAUCUCUCCACUACGCCUCAUGGUAUCUCUCCUUUCAUCCCACUAUACCUCAUACUGUCUUUCUUCUUAUAGCUAAUUAGCUCUUUUAGGGUGCUAAACUGCUCUAUAAAUUUAGCCUGUCAACUAAGAGCAUACUUAACUUCUUGGGGUGUUCUAAUUCUCUUGGCUAAUUGUGAGUUCCACUAGGUAACUUGUCCUUUCCAUCAUUGUUAAAACCUUUUUCCUUGCUAACUACAUGCUCUCCCAACUCUAUUUCAUACUUAUCACUCCUGGUGUCUAUUGCAUCACUUCAUUGUGUCUGUAGCCUCUUCUAAAUAAACUUAUCUUUUGCCAAAGAGAAUGGCCACUGUGAAUUUUAUUUAUCUGUUUCCUGCAAUUUUUGUGAUUUCUUCUUGUAAUGAGAGCAAUGUCCUCAUGCAAAUUAAGCCAAAAUUUCCUCAAAAGGUAUUGAAAUUAUCCUUGAGAAUUGGUUGCCUCAAGACUCUGGCUGUUGCCAUCACUUCCUAUUCUCCUGAGUACAAAAUAUCCAUGAAUAACUUUAGAAUAUCUCUUUGGAAAAUGAAGGGCAACUCAGGUAAAGACACUUUGUUCAAAUGAAUCAACUUGUGAUAUCCUCAAAAGCUAUCCUUCUUGGAUAUCUUUCUGAUUUAGUUAAGCAAAUCUCUUUUUUGUCAACUGUUAAAUGAUCUAAAAGUGUUUCAUUUUGUUUCCAUUUUGAACCUAAAUUAAGCUAAAUCAGGUUUCUUUUGUACAAUUGAGUUGACUUUUCCCUUACAUAUUUAAAUGCUGUGCCAUUUGGUAUAUAAAGUUCAGAAUUGAUAUUGAUUCAUUGUCUAUGGUUUCUUUAAGCAUAACAUAGUUUCCUUAUUUGUAUCUAGUUGAAUUGUUAUUUUAGUUUGAUCCCAUAGAAUGAAUCCAACUCCUGGGUUUUUUUUUUUUUUUAGUCCCCUGAAGCAAUUGGAGUUAAGUGACUAGCCCAGGGUCACACAGCCAAAAAAUGUUAAGUGUCUGAGGCCAUAUUUGAACUCAGUUCCUCCUGACUUCAGGGCUGGUGCUCUAUCCACUGUACCACCUAGCUGCCCUCCCCCCCAAAUCCUGCCUUUUUAGAUUACCUGAUGCAUAAUGUUAUUCCAACUUUUCUUUUUGAUUUUGCACAAUUUAAAAAAUGUGGCCCCUGAUACCAGAGAUCAGAUUAGAGGGAAAAACUGUAGAUCCUCUCACUU
rnacentral:lncRNA from 1 species